UUUGUUUUUCAGCAGGACUUGAAUUUUAAUCAGAAGAAUUUACACGUAAGAGAGAAGACAAUGCAAUCUGAGAAGUGAUGGUAUACGUCUGUGACUGAAGAUGAGUUUAAAUAUUGACCAGAGCAUUUCAACGACAAAUCCUCUGCCCAAUCCAGAAGCAACCUCAACAGACGCAAUGACGGACUCUCAAAAGGUUGCAUGUCUGCAGGCACAAGGAGAUGAUGCAUUGAGAAAAGAGAACUAUGAGGAGGCUGUGCAUUAUUACACCCAGGGUCUAAUGCUGGAUGCCAAGGACUGCCAGUUACUG